rnacentral:misc_RNA from 1 species
AAGUCGUAACAAGGUUUCCGUAGGUGAACCUGCGGAAGGAUCAUUAAGAAUUAUAAUUAAUUGUGAAAAUUAUACAGCAAACAAUAAUUUUAUAGUCAAAACAAAAAAAAAAUUAAAACUUUUAACAAUGGAUCUCUUGGUUCUC